rnacentral:tRNA from 1 species
AUACAGGUGUCAAAAAUUUAUGAGUUAAUUUUAAGCGUUAAAUAUAAGGUUUUUAGUGCCUUUCUGUAUU